GUAACGGCUUACCAAGGCAACGAUGGGUAGGGGUCCUGAGAGGGAGAUCCCCCACACUGGUACUGAGACACGGACCAGACUCCUACGGGAGGCAGCAGUGAGGAAUAUUGGACAAUGGGCGCAAGCCUGAUCCAGCCAUGCCGCGUGCAGGAUGACGGUCCUAUGGAUUGUAAACUGCUUUUGCACAGGAAGAAACAACUCUACGUGUAGAGUCUUGACGGUACUGUGAGAAUAAGGAUCGGCUAACUCCGUGCCAGCAGCCGCGGUAAUACGGAGGAUCCAAGCGUUAUCCAGAAUCAUUGGGUUUAAAGGGUCCGUAGGCGGUUUAGUAAGUCAGUGGUGAAAGCCCAUCGCUCAACGGUGGAACGGCCAUUGAUACUGCUAAACUUGAAUUAUUAGGAAGUAACUAGAAUAUGUAGUGUAGCGGUGAAAUGCUUAGAGAUUACAUGGAAUACCAAUUGCGAAGGCAGGUUACUACUAAUGGAUUGACGCUGAUGGACGAAAGCGUGGGUAGCGAACAGGAUUAGAUACCCUGGUAGUCCACGCCGUAAACGAUGGAUACUAGCUGUUGGGAGCAAUCUCAGUGGCUAAGCGAAAGUGAUAAGUAUCCCACCUGGGGAGUACGUUC
rnacentral:rRNA from 1 species